CACUUCCUCUCGCGAUCCGCCGUACGAUCCACUCCGGCGAGCGUGCGCGUGCGGCGGGAAGCACAAGGCGCGCGGGGAUCUCUUGCCCGGAUGGCCGGAUCCAAUGCCGUCUCCGCAAAAUGCUGCAAAACCAGGCGCGCCGUAUCGUAUCUCCGCUACGCCAAAUCAUUCAACAACCCGGCCUGCCACGCACACGCACGAGUGAUCCGUUCUGUCCCCUGCAAACCCC
rnacentral:lncRNA from 1 species